GACGAACGCUGGCGGCGUGCCUAAUACAUGCAAGUUGAACGCACUGACGUCGACAGAAGGUGCUUGCACUGGAAGUUGAUUGACGUGAGUGGGGGACGGGUGAGUAACACGUGGGUAACCUGCCCUUAAGCGGGGGAUAACAUUUGGAAACAGAUGCUAAUACCGCAUAAAAGUUGAGAUCACAUGGUCUUAAUUUGAAAGACGGCCUUUGGCUGUCACUUAAGGAUGGACCCGCGGCGUAUUAGCUAGUUGGUGAGAUAAUAGCCCACCAAGGCGAUGAUACGUAGCCGACCUGAGAGGGUAAUCGGCCACAUUGGGACUGAGACACGGCCCAAACUCCUACGGGAGGCAGCAGUAGGGAAUCUUCCACAAUGGACGAAAGUCUGAUGGAGCAACGCCGCGUGAGUGAAGAAGGUUUUCGGAUCGUAAAACUCUGUUGUUGGAGAAGAACAGGGACUAGAGUAACUGUUAGUCCUUUGACGGUAUCCAACCAGAAAGCCACGGCUAACUACGUGCCAGCAGCCGCGGUAAUACGUAGGUGGCAAGCGUUGUCCGGAUUUAUUGGGCGUAAAGCGAGCGCAGGCGGUUUCUUAAGUCUGAUGUGAAAGCCUUCGGCUUAACCGAAGAAGUGCAUCAGAUACUGGGAAACUUGAGUGCAGAAGAGGAAAGUGGAACUCCAUGUGUAGCGGUGAAAUGCGUAGAUAUAUGGAAGAACACCAGUGGCGAAGGCGGCUUUCUGGUCUGUAACUGACGCUGAGGCUCGAAAGUAUGGGGAGCGAACAGGGUUAGAUACCCUGGUAGUCCAUACCGUAAACGAUGAAUGCUAAGUGUUGGAGGGUUUCCGCCCUUCAGUGCUGCAGCUAACGCAUUAAGCAUUCCGCCUGGGAGUACGACCGCAAGGUUGAAACUCAAAGGAAUUGACGGGGGCCCGCACAAGCGGUGGAGCAUGUGGUUUAAUUCGAAGCUACGCGAAGAACCUUACCAGGUCUUGACAUCUAGCGCCAAUCCUAGAGAUAGGACGUUCCCUUCGGGGACGCUAAGACAGGUGGUGCAUGGUUGUCGUCAGCUCGUGUCGUGAGAUGUUGGGUUAAGUCCCGCAACGAGCGCAACCCUUAUGAUUAGUUGCCAGCAUUUAGUUGGGCACUCUAAUCAGACUGCCGGUGACAAACCGGAGGAAGGGGGGGA
rnacentral:rRNA from 1 species